rnacentral:sRNA from 1 species
CUCCGUACGGGGAAGGAUGAGAAGCUUCGACUAAGGUUCGAUUCGAGCGCAGCGAGAAAACGUUGCCGCAGGCAACGACCCGAAGGGUGAGGAGCGGAGCGACGAAUAAUCCUUCCCCCACCACCA